rnacentral:rRNA from 1 species
CGUGAACCAUCGAGUCUUUGAACGCAAGUUGCGCCCCAAGCCAUUAGGCCGAGGGCACGUCUGCCUGGGUGUCACGC